rnacentral:lncRNA from 1 species
CUCAAGCCGGGCGUUCCUAUAGGCUAGCUGGGAGGAGGUGGAGAGCCCCGCCCCCGCCAGCUUGUGCCUGUGAGAUAAGCAGCGCCCGCCGGGAAAUGUAGUCCUCUGGCUGAGGAGCGCUGUCACUCUGAGGCGUGAGGUAUCUUGACUGCCGGGUCCUCCUGCAAGGAGAAUGAGAUGGAACUUGAGGGAGAACGGCCAAGAGUCUGAACUCCAGGAGCUACCCAGGACUUGCUUGAAAACAUCACUGGGGGUUAUAAGAAGUACUUCGACUUGCAGAAAAGACAACAGUAUAUCCAAAUACUGCCAAAUGCCUGGGAGCAACUGAAGAAAUCAGAACUGAAUCUCCUGAUGCAAAUACCAAUGGAGGGAGAAGACCAGAGUGACACCAGGAAGGGGACCCAGGGCGAGUUGUGGGAUGCUAAUAUAAUGUUUCUUCAUUUUGGUGCAACCUAAUUUCAUGUAUUCACUUUGUUAGAUGUUCACUGAGUCAAACCUUAUGUUUUCCAUAGAUCCCCCUUUAUAUGUGAACUUUCAACUUUUUAUUUCCCUUACUGUGAGAUAACCAAACACCUUCCAAACAAAGCAUGUCAUGUUUCACUUUCAAGGACUACGGAUAUUAUCAAAUGUGUAAAAAAAAAAACAAAACAAUUUUAUGGAGAACAGUCAUUUGGGUGAGAAGGAAGUGGUACAAGAGGGCUUGGGUGGGUAUUCUGUGAAAAGCACCAAGUUUGCAGGCUUGAAAGUCGCCUAGAAAUCUCCAGUUUCACAAAAUCACCCCAGUCCUUGAUCUUUAGCCAUCUUUUUUGCCUGUCUUUCUU